UACGGGGGGGGGCAAGCGUUGUUCGGAAUUACUGGGCGUAAAGGGCUCGUAGGCGGCCAACUAAGUCGGACGUGAAAUCCCUCGGCUCAACCGGGGAACUGCGUCCGAUACUGGAUGGCUUGAAUCCGGGAGAGGGAUGCGGAAUUCCAGGUGUAGCGGUGAAAUGCGUAGAUAUCUGGAGGAACACCGGUGGCGAAGGCGGCAUCCUGGACCAACACUGACGCUGAGGAGCGAAAGCCAGGGGAGCAAACGGG
rnacentral:rRNA from 1 species